AUUUAUUUAAAAGGCUGCGGUAAAUUAACUGUACAAAGGUAGCAAAAUAAAUAGUUUUUUAAUUGGAAACUUGAAUGAAAGAGUUGAUAAAAUAUAAGUUGUUUCAAAUAUUUAAUUUAAAUUAAAAGUUAAAAUGCUUUUAUUUUUUUAUUAGACGAUAAGACCCUAAGAAUUUGAUUAUUUAAUUUAUUUUAAUAAAUUAAUUUUGAUUAAAUAAUUUUAUUGGGAGGAUAAUUGAAUAAAACUUUUAUUUAUUUAAAUAUAUAUAAAUAUUUUAAUGAUUAUUUUUAAGAUUAUAAGAAUAAAUUACCUUAGGGAUAACAGCGUUAUAAUUUUGGAGAGUUCAUAUUGAUAAAAUUGUUUGCGACCUCGAUGUUGAAUUAAAAUAAAGUUUAAAUGAAGAAAUUUAAAUUUUUAGUCUGUUCGACUAUUAAAAUUUUAC
rnacentral:rRNA from 1 species